rnacentral:rRNA from 1 species
GACGAAGGGGGCUAGCGUUGUUCGGAAUUACUGGGCGUAAAGCGCGUGUAGGCGGUUGUCCAAGUUGGAUGUGAAAGCCUUGAGCUCAACUCAAGAAAUGCAUUCAGGACUGGAUGACUAGAGGACCGGAGAGGAUAGUGGAAUUCCCAGUGUAGUGGUGAAAUACGUAGAGAUUGGGAAGAACACCAGUGGCGAAGGCGGCCAUCUGGCUCAACAUUGACGCUGAGGCACGAAAGCGUGGGGAGCAAACAGG